CUUGUGAUCCCCCGACCUUGGCCUCCCAAAGUGCUGGGAUUACAGGUGUGAGCCACCAUGCCCAGUCCUGACUUUCUAAUUGUCUUUGUUACUUUGGGCUUCUAUAUAACCUCUUUGCUUCCAUUUCAUAAAUAAAAAAGGAGUAAAAACCAGUGUCUUCCUCCUUAUUAAUGUGAAAAGCACUUUGAAAACUAGAAAAAAAAUUAAAGAUAUGACUAUUUGUUAAAGUCCUAAGACAUACAUAUUUCCUGAUAUAGUCUGUGUUAUUCAUAACAAUUAAUAAGGAUAUGUGGUAAACACCCAGUUUACAGAGAAUGGGGAUAUCACAUGUAAUCGUAUCUAUAUUUAAGUAGCUCAGCCUUCCAAUUUCCAGACUUUCAGAUCGAUCAUAUGGUUGACCUUUUUUUAAAAAAGCUUUCUCUCUAUGUGAUCUAUAUCAUUAGAGCUCUGCUAACCUACCACAGUCCAUAACUGCUGGUGAUAAAGGAUAGAGGCCAAUUUUAUUUAAACUGCGAUCUCUGUUGAGUAUUGUAGUUUACAGUUGAGUUACAGAGCUGGAACAUUUAAUCUGCAUGGCCCAUUUAGCACAAGGGGAAAAGGGGCCUCUGCAGAAUGGGCAGCCUGACUUGCAUUUAGUAAUCACAGUCUGGCAGGGGGCCUGAGGAAGUCACAGGAAAUGGGGCCAGAUAUUCUCCUCCCUCUAGGUCUGAGAUGGGAGCAACACAGGCCUGGUGCCCGGGAGCACAAUGAGGAAUCACACCAGAUGCCAACGCUGAGGUGCUCUGUGUCUACUAUCAGGGGGAAGACACCAACAAAAAUGAUUUAAAUACAAGCAUUUUCUUCUUUGUCUUCAUGUCUCCAAUAUUUAACCUAAGAAAGUAAACAGAAAGACCUUGGAAACCAUACCCAAUGGGGAUAUUUCCAAUGUUAUCAGAUGUUUUAACAUGGUCCCAUUCUGAGCAUCAGCUUUAAAACAACAUAGACAAACUCCAAUGGUAAUGAAGACUGUGUGAGAGGCAUCCUGACAGCAGGGAUAGCAUGGAAGUAUGCCUUCAAUAUAUAUGUACCAUGCUAAAUUGAUUGUACAUCCUAAAAUUCACAUUUUAGAAUUGAAGAAAUAUUAACAGUCAAUGAUCUAGGCAGCAUAAACCAUACCUUCUUCUGCAGAAUACACCACUGUGGUGGGACUGAAAGGGCCUUCUCCUUUGUUGUUGAAGACACCUACUUUAACCUCAAAGGGAGAGAAGGGACGCACGCUCUCAUUCCUGAACACGUAUCUGGAGGCGUCAGCUGAGGCCAGCACUGUCAGCAUCCAGAUCAUUUUACCAUAGGGCCGGAAGGCCACCACAUAACCAAAGCCUCGACCAUUCUGUAAUUCCUCAGGGACCGUCUGGGAAAGAAGGGAUAUGGUCUUCAGAAAUCAUAGUAGUUUGAUUCCAAUGCAAAAAUUGUUUUUGUUUCCCUCGUAACAUUCUUGUCUACAUCCUUCUCCACCCAUCUUACUUGGGGUUUUGUUAACAGUCUUUUAAAUUUAGGGCUUGCAGUCAGUCUGUCUUAAACAGUUAUAAGGUCCUAGGCAGGGUUGAAAACGUAAUGAGGAUCUGUAGUCCAGAGCUUGCUCUUUGAUGGGGCACACCCAGCUCUGAAAUGGUUGGAAAUGAUUGUAAAAAAAAAAAAAAAAAACAAAACUGGACAUCAGUCUCCUGAAAAACAGUAUUUCCAACACAUAUCCUCUAAUACUAAGCUUCCUUCAUUGCCAAAUAGACAAAAGAUCUC